UAUAAUGUGGCAGAUAAAUGUGUAGUAUUUAAGUUAUUAUUAUGAUGAAUAUCCUUUAUAA
rnacentral:tRNA from 1 species